rnacentral:rRNA from 1 species
GUAGCAGGUCUUGUAAAUUUUUUGUGAAUCUGUUGCGCUCAACGCAACACACUGCAGAAAAGACUGCAAGACUUGGGAUUGGGAGGAGUAAGCAGUAUUCUCGGGGGAGCGGUAAAAUGUUAUAAUCCCGAGAGGACUACCUGUGCCGAAGGGGGCUUACUAGAACAAAUUCGGACUGUGAGGGACGAAAGCUAGGGGAGCGAAAAGGAUUAGAUACCCUUGUAGUCCUAGCCGUAAACACUGUGAACUAAAUUCGACGUAAACCUAGUGUUUGCGCUGAAUUGAA